AGAGUGCUGGUGGGGGGUGGGGGGAGGUACCCCCAGAGAGCAGGGGUUCUGGAGUCAGCAACGGCUGGGUUCAAAUCCUCGGUGCACCACUCACUGGCCAUAUGACUCUCUGGACUCAGUUUCCACAUAGGUAAAAGUGAGGUAGAAACUGCCAUCUUGCAGGGUGUUCGACAGGACGGGCAGCAAGACAUAAAUUCAAUAUAAAUUCCCAGGCAUACAGUAGUUACAAAUUGUUGCUGAGCAAACAGUGGUUUGCUGUUAUUACUAGUUUUACCGAUGCCAGCCAGAAAAUCUUUCGUUUUCAAAGUUUUAUAUCUUUAAAGUGAAUUAAUCUCUAACUACUUUGGCUCUGUAAGUUUCCAAUUUGUUUCCUUAAAGCAGAGAGUACCUACAUUGAAUGAAUGCAUCUCCCCUAGAGUUUGCCUCUGAACGGUUACAUGGAUAUGUGACGGAGGUUAUAAUAAGCUCCUGGAGAACGAAUGUCAUUCCAAAUACCCUUCUGUAGAUUCAAAAACACCUUGCACCAUACUGAGCCUGAUAAAUACUUGCUGAAAUCAUGAAUGAAAAAUCUGCCACUUGUAUCAUGUAGAGAAAUGGGUCACUAACCUAUCCUCCUAUUAACCACAACCUAAACUUCAACUCAACUUAUUCCUACUCAAAACACUACCUUCUGGGACACCUGGCUGGCUCAGUCAGUGCAUCAUGCAACUCCUGAUCUCAAGAGUUGUGAGAUUGAGCCCCAGGCCAGGCAUAGAUAUUACUUUCAAAAUAAAACCCUUAAAAACAAACAAACAAACGAAAACGAAAAAACAAACUACCUUCCUUUCUCUCCACAUGCCUCAUGAGAAUUAUCUCCAGACUCCACUGAGUCCUAAAUCACCUCCCUUCUUUGGAUGUCUGAAGCAUUUAUUGAUUAUAUUACCAUGUGGGCACUUAAUACA